GACCUGCGUGAUGAAGGCGGAGGCCACAGAUGCCGACGACCCCGAGACGGACAACGCGGCGCUGCGGUACUCCAUCCUGGAGCAGGGCUCCGCCGGCAUGUUCAGCAUCAACGCCACCACCGGCGAGAUCUGCACCGCGCGGCCCGGCCUUGACCGCGAGGUACGGGGGGAUGCGGCCGGGGUUGGGGGGGGGGGACACACAGUGUGGCACCAGGGCUGGGGGAGCAGCUGGAGCCCCUCGAGCCGGCACAACCACGGGUUUGCUGCAAGCAAAGCCCUGGGGACCACCCCGGCCAGGGGGGACAGGCUGCAUGGGGCCACCUCCGGGCUCGCGGUGCCGGAUGGGCUCAGCACCCGCCCCGUCCUCGCCGCAGGCCGUGGGGGUCUACAACCUGACGCUGCAGGUGGCCGACAUGUCCGGGGACGGGCUGGCCACCACCGCCGCGGCCGUCAUCUACCUGGAGGACAUCAACGACAACCCUCCCGAGUUCACCAAGGAGGAGGUAGCAGUGGGGCAUGGGGCCGGGGCAGGACGCGGGGCCGGGUGCUGCCGUGGGGGUCCGCGGAUGCCGUGGGGUCCCGCGGACGCCCGCCCCACGCCRCUGCCCCGCAGUUCGCCAUGGAGGUGCAGGAGCAGGCGGCCGGCGUGGAGGCGGGCAAGGUCUUGGUGCACGACAAGGACCUGGCCGGCUCGCCCAACUGGCUGGCCAAGUUCACCAUCCUGGAGGGCGACCCCGAGGGUGCUUUCGCCAUCCGCACCGACCCCUACACCAACGACGGCGUGCUCUCCGUGGCCAAGGUGCGUGAGCUGGGAGGUGUCCUGGGGCCGGUGGAUGGGGAUGGGGAUGGGGAUGGGGACGGGACCCCGUGGCGCGGCUGACGCCCCUGCCCACUCCGCAGCCGCUGGACCACGAGGCGCGGGACCGCUUCGAGCUCACGGUGUCGGUGCAGAACGAGCGGCCCCUGGAGCCGUCGGCGCCGGCCAGCCCCCGGGCGCUGGCCACGGUGCRGGUGCGGGUGCGGGACGUCAACGAGGCGCCCGUUUUCCGCGAGAACCCGCGGCGGGUCAGCGUGCUGGAGGGCGCCCCGCCGGGCACCGAGGUCACCACCUACACGGCCACCGACCCCGACACCCGCCA
rnacentral:lncRNA from 1 species